rnacentral:lncRNA from 1 species
GGUUGUCUGCUGUCUGGUAGGAGGGCUUUGUCUGUGUGUGUCUUUCUCUCUCUCUCUCUCUCCCUCCCUCCCUCCCUUUCUCCCUCUCUCUCUCUCUCUCUCUGUCUCUCGCACUCUCGCUUGCUCUCGCUCUCUCUCUCUCUCUCUCUCUCUCUCCCUUUCCCGUCUCUGUGGUUUGUAAGGUAGGUUGCAGUGUGUGUAUAUACACAACAUCAAGAGCAGGAAAAUGGACUCAUUAGGGAGGCAGGCAGUCAUUACCACUCACACUGUACUUCCAGAGAGACAGCGACUAUGAGGAGACAAACUGAGGACUGGGGAACAAGCAGCAUAAAAAGGAAGUGUUAGGAGCUGCUCUUAACCUUUUUGGAGUCCGAAGUCAAAAGGGAACUAGAGGGCUUGACACAUCCUUUACAUCCUGCAUUUACUCUGACCACAGUCCCUGCCUGUUCUCACAAGUGGAGCUCAACCCUGCUUCCCUUCCUGUUGAUUCCCAGUCAGCUACAUGGGAUCAGGAUUUUCAACACAAAAUCAUUCCUUUUUCAUUUCAGAGGAAAGGAAAUUACAGCAACUUUUGUGAAGAUAAAGGAAAAAACUUCAAAUUUUUGAGGAGGAAAAAUGCUUCCUGCCUGGCUCCAGUUGGACACCCCUGUUGAACAUUGCAAGCUGCAAUCAAACUGAGCUGUAGAGCUGGUUCAGAGUUUGCAGUGCGAGUCCCCGCUCAGCGAUGAGAAUGAGAUUUGAAUAUUCUGCGGUGGUGGUACAUCUGGGUUUAGGUCUAAUCACCUUCUGAAACAAUCCACUCUAACACAGUACAACUAUCAGAAGUAUCUACAUUACUGGUAAUAUUCACACAUACAAAAACACUCUCCUUCUCUAGAAAGCUGAAAGGGAGCUUGCUUUGUGUAAUUAUUUAAGGGCACAGUACAGACCAAGAGGUAACAUGUGGGACAACUUCUCAGUGGCCUUCAUUUAAGUUCAUUAGCUAACUCCUGUGCAAUGCCUAGCUAUGCAGCCUGUUGUGGGUACUGCAGAUCUGUGUAAUCUCUGGCUCGUAGCCAUGAACUAGCCCUUCCCUGCCUUUCUUAAAACAACACAUGCAAAUGCUAUCCAACCGUUUAUUUUAUUCAUGUAAAUUUUUGCCCAUGCAAAUUCCAACCACAGAGUUCCUUCAUAACACACGAAGAAGAGGUUGAGAUGUUCUUUUAAAUGGAAAAAAAACAACAGUAAUAGCUAAGUAGUGCCAUCUUUUUUUUUCCUUUCCCUCUUUAAUCAAACCAACGUUGCUCAGACUUCAGUGAGACUUCUGCAUCAGUGAGGCCGUCAGGAUUUGUCCCAACAGGUGUUAACUCUUCUCAGCCCUAAAGGGAGCUUUCUUUGUGUCCUGGUGUCCUCCUCUUAGAGGGACCAAUGGGGGCAGGAAACUGGGAGGUUAGGACAGGCUGUUGGAGAACCUGCGCUGGCAUCAGCUGUCCAUCACUGGCAGGGAGCUGCUAGUUGACAUUUGAGAGAAUGCGCUUUACAUGAGCAAGUGAUGAGUGAAUGGAAAUUAAAACAAAAGGAUUGAAAACAGAGCUGUAAUCAAUCUAGCCUGGUCUCAAGAAACCGGGGACGCUUUUUCGUAGUGAAUUUGGGGCAGAUAUCACAGCACGUGCC